UUUCCGGUUGAUCCCGCCGGGACUGACUGCUAUCGGAUUGAUACUAAGCCAUGCGAGUCAUUGUAGUAAUACAAGGCAGACGGCUCAGUAACGCGUAGUCAACCUACCCUAUGGACGGGAAUAACCUCGGGAAACUGAGAAUAAUGCCCGAUAGAACACUAUACCUGGAAUGGUUUGUGUUCCAAAUGAUUUAUCGCCAUAGGAUGGGACUGCGGCCUAUCAGUUUGUUGGUGAGGUAAUGGCCCACCAAGACUAUUACAGGUACGGGCUCUGAGAGGAGUGGCCCGGAGAUGGGUACUGAGACACGGACCCAGGCCCUAUGGGGCGCAGCAGGCGAGAAAACUUUGCAAUGUGCGAAAGCACGACAAGGUUAAUCCGAGUGGUUUCUGCUAAAGGAACCUUUUGUCGGUCCUAGAAACACCGAUGAAUAAGGGGUGGGCAAGUUCUGGUGUCAGCCGCCGCGGUAAAACCAGCACCUCAAGUUGUCAGGAUGAUUAUUGGGCCUAAAGCAUCCGUAGCCGGCUCUGUUAGUUUUCGGUUAAAUCUGUACGCUUAACGUACAGGCUGCCGGGAAUACUGCACAGCUAGGGAGUGGGAGAGGUAGACGGUACUCGGUAGGAAGGGGUAAAAUCCUUUGAUCUAUUGAUGACCACCAGUGGCGAAGGCGGUCUACCAGAACACGUCCGACGGUGAGGGAUGAAAGCUGGGGGAGCAAACCGGAUUAGAUACCCGGGUAGUCCCAGCUGUAAACUAUGCAAACUCGGUGAUGCGUUGGCUUGUAGCCAGUGCAGUGCCGCAGGGAAGCCGUUAAGUUUGCCGCCUGGGAAGUACGUACGCAAGUAUGAAACUUAAAGGAAUUGGCGGGGGAGCACCACAAGGGGUGAAGCCUGCGGUUCAAUUGGAUUCAACGCCGGA
rnacentral:rRNA from 1 species